UGCCUUACACAUGCAAGUCGAACGGCAGCACGGGAGCAAUCAUGGUGGCGAGUGGCGAACGGGUGAGUAAUAUAUCGGAACGUGCCCAGUAGUGGGGGAUAACUGCUCGAAAGAGCAGCUAAUACCGCAUACGACCUGAGGGUGAAAGCGGGGGAUCGCAAGACCUCGCGCUAUUGGAGCGGCCGAUAUCAGAUUAGCUAGUUGGUGGGGUAAAAGCUCACCAAGGCGACGAUCUGUAGCUGGUCUGAGAGGACGACCAGCCACACUGGGACUGAGACACGGCCCAGACUCCUACGGGAGGCAGCAGUGGGGAAUUUUGGACAAUGGGCGCAAGCCUGAUCCAGCCAUGCCGCGUGCGGGAAGAAGGCCUUCGGGUUGUAAACCGC
rnacentral:rRNA from 1 species